AAAGUUGCUGAUAUUGAAGAGAAGAAACAGAUUAUUACUGAACAUUAUGAGAAACUUAAACUCAAAGUUGCUGAACAAUUGGAAGAGAAGGAGGAACGAUGUCUUAAAAAGAAACAGAUCAUUAUUGACGACAUUCAAAAUCUGAAAACUGACAUUUCUGAGAAAGACAAAGUUAUAGCCAAACUGACAUCACAAGUAGAGGAACAAUCAGAGAAUGAGAAACAGAUCA